GCACCAUCCAGAGCGGUUGAGAGUCCUGGCUCGACGACGCCGCAGCAACCCCCCACAAUGGAAGCCUCCUGAGGGUGCGGGUGCUAACGCCAGGUCCGAUGGAGU
rnacentral:ncRNA from 2 species